UCUCCGUUGGUGAGCCAGCGGAGGGAUCAUUACCGAGUUAUCAACUCCCAAACCCCUGUGAACAUACCCAACGUUGCUUCGGCGGGACCGCCCCGGCGCCCUCGGCGUCCCGGAACCAGGCGCCCGCCGGAGGACCCAAACUCUUGUUUAAACCAUAGUGGCAUAUUCUGAGUCUCACAAGAAAAAUGAACCAAAACUUUCAACAACGGAUCUCUUGGCUCUG
rnacentral:misc_RNA from 1 species